AACCUGAACAGGACCUUGAAUUGUAACGUUAAAUGUUGAUGUUUUAAAAGUGUUAAUUGUAAAGAAAAGUAAACCAUUUUGUUUAAAAACUGUUGUUUGCAA